UUCGCGAAAAAGAAGAAGAGAAAAGACGAAGGGAUUUGUAUGUGACACUAAUAAUAUCCGAUCAUCUAGAACGCAGGCGUUGAGUUGAGAAUGGAAGGAGGGAAACGAGGCACGAUUCUGGUCACCAACGACGACGGUAUCGAUGCUCCUGGCUUAAGAGCAUUGGUUCACUCCCUCGUCAACGCCAACCUUUUCAACGUUCUAGUGUGCGCUCCUGAUAGCGAGAAAUCAGCUGUUAGCCACAGCAUCACUUGGCUCCAUCCAGUAGCUGUUAAGCAAGUACAGAUCGAGGGAACCACCGCAUUUGCUGUUUCUGGGACUCCCGCUGAUUGUGCUUCUCUAGGGAUUUCCAAAGCUCUCUUUCCCACAGUACCUGAUCUGGUGGUCAGUGGCAUAAACAAGGGUAGCAACUGCGGUUAUCACAUUGUUUACUCAGGCACUGUAGCUGGAGCUCGAGAGGCCUUCUUCAAUGAUAUACUUUCUAUCUCCAUUUCAUAUGACUGGUAUGGCAUAUUUGCAAUAUGCUUCUGGGUUAAAGGAAAGAGUAAGCUACAAGACUUCACCCUUGCUGCACAAGUAUGCUUACCUAUCAUAAGCGCUCUACUGGUUGAGACAAAGAAUCAAAGCUACCCUAGAAAAUGUUUUUUGAAUAUAGACGUGCCAAACAAUGUUCCUAACCAUAAGGGUUACAAGCUAACUAAGCAGGGUAAAAGUAUCAUCAAGACUGGGUGGAGGCAAGUCACAUCUGAGACAGAAGGACCAAAAAUGUCAUCUGAUAUGACCAAUACAGAUACAGAAACAUCAAAGAAUUUUGACUCAUCAUCUGCAUCACCAGAACAUCUUUUGUUUGCGAGAGAGGUAAUAGGUUCUGUACUUGAUGAAGAUGAUACGGACUACAAAUGUUUGCGGGAAGGAUAUAUUACUGUUACUCCUCUUGCUGCUCUCACUCAUGUGGAGGUAGAUUGUCAGGCCUAUUUUAAGAAUUGGCUACAAAGUGUCCCCGAACUCCCCUCGUCAUCAUCUUUAUAAUGCUAUUCCUCCGGUUCACUGGAAGUGAUGCCAACUCAAUCUGUUGCUAAAUCAAUUAUUUUGAUCCUGAGCAAUUUGGUUGCUCCGGUUGUGCUAUCCAUUCGAAAUAGCUUUCACGCGUCAACUUCAACAAGGAAAAUAGGAGAACAAACAACCAUUUCAACAACAGCUUAAAUUAGACAGCUUACCAGUUUUGAAAGCAGGUAUUAAAGAAUUUAAGGAGGAAAAUAAAAUAUGGAUGUUUAAAUAAGCUCUUAAUGGAUGCUUCAAAAGACAAAAAUAAAAUGGACAUCAUUCUAUGUGUUGUAUGCUAGAAAAGUUUUUAAAAAAAAAGGAAAAAAAAAAAGAAAUACACUGUGUAUGGACAUCAUAAAUAUUUUAUGUAUGUACAUUACGAACUUCGUAUCGAUUCUGUUUUGUGCACA